rnacentral:rRNA from 1 species
UUCGCAAUGCCCGAAAGGGUGACGAAGCGACGCCGCGUGGGUGAGGAAGGCCUUCGGGUUGUAAAGCCCUGUCAGGAGUUAAGAAAUGUAGGUACGCUAAUAUCGUAUCUAUUUGACAAAGGCUCCAAAGGAAGCCACGGCUAACUCUGUGCCAGCAGCCGCGGUAAUACAGAGGUGGCAAGCGUUGUUCGGAAUUAUUGGGCGUAAAGAGCACGUAGGUGGAUUUGUAGGUCAGAUGUGAAAGCCUUCUGUUCAACGGAAGAAUUGCAUCUGAAACUACAAACCUUGAGUAUAGGAGGGGAGAAUGGAACUUCUGGUGGAGCGGUGAAAUGCGUAGAUAUCAGAAGGAACGCCGGCGGCGAAAGCGAUUCUCUGGCCUAUUACUGACACUCAGUGUGCGAAAGCUAGGGGAGCAAACGAGAUUAGAUACCCCGGUAGUCCUAGCCGUAAACGAUGGGCACAAUCACUAG